rnacentral:rRNA from 1 species
UACGGAGGAUCCAAGCGUUAUCCGGAUUUAUUGGGUUUAAAGGGUGCGUAGGCGGAAUGAUAAGUCAGUGGUGAAAGCCUGCAGCUUAACUGCAGAACUGCCAUUGAUACUGUCAAUCUUGAGUACAUUUGAUGUGGGCGGAAUGUGUCAUGUAGCGGUGAAAUGCUUAGAUAUGACACAGAACACCGAUUGCGAAGGCAGCUCACAAAACUGUAACUGACGCUGAGGCAACGAAAGCGUGGGUAGUCAAACAGGA